rnacentral:rRNA from 1 species
GACGUAGGGCGCGAGCGUUGUCCGGAUUUAUUGGGCGUAAAGAGCUCGUAGGCGGCUGUUCAAGUCGAACGUGAAAACUCGGAGCUCAACUCCGAGCCUGCGUUCGAUACUGGACGGCUAGAGUCUGGUAGGGGGAUCUGGAAUUCCUGGUGUAGCGGUGGAAUGCGCAGAUAUCUGGAGGAACACCGGUGGCGAAGGCGGCAUUCUGGACCGAUAUUGACGCUGAGGAGCGAAAGCCAGGGGAGCAAACGGG